GACGAACGCUGGCGGCGUGCUUAACACAUGCAAGUCGAACGGUAAGGCCCUUCGGGGUACACGAGUGGCGAACGGGUGAGUAACACGUGACUAACCUACCCUUGACACUGGGAUAACAGUUGGAAACAGCUGCUAAUACCGGAUACGAACCUCCAAGGCAUCUUGGUGGUUGGAAAGCUCCGGCGGUCAAGGAUGGAGUCGCGGCCUAUCAGCUUGUUGGUGAGGUAAUGGCUCACCAAGGCUUCGACGGGUAGCCGGCCUGAGAGGGCGACCGGCCACAUUGGGACUGAGAUACGGCCCAAACUCCUACGGGAGGCAGCAGUGGGGAAUAUUGCCCCAUGGGCGAAAGCCUGAUGCAGCAACGCCGCGUGCGGGAAGACGGCCUUCGGGUUGUAAACCGCUUUCAGUAGGGACGAAGUGAAAAUGACGGUACCUACAGAAGAAGCACCGGCUAACUACGUGCCAGCCGCCACAGUAAAAC
rnacentral:rRNA from 1 species